rnacentral:rRNA from 1 species
GAUGAACGCUGGCGGCGUGCCUAAUACAUGCAAGUCGAGCGAACAGACGAGGAGCUUGCUCCUCUGACGUUAGCGGCGGACGGGUGAGUAACACGUGGAUAACCUACCUAUAAGACUGGGAUAACUUCGGGAAACCGGAGCUAAUACCGGAGAAUAUAUUGAACCGCAUGGUUCAAUGGUGAAAGACGGUUUUGCUGUCACUUAUAGAUGGAUCCGCGCCGGAUUAGCUGGUUGGUACGGUAACGGCUUACCAAGGCAACGAUGCGUAGCCGACCGGAGAGGCUGGUAGGCCACACGGGAGCUGAGACACGGUCCAGACUCCUGCGGGAGGCAGCAGUAGGGAAUCUGCCGCAGUGGGGGAAAGCCUGACGGAGCGACGCCGCGUGAGUGAUGAAGGUCCUCGGAUCGUGAAACUGUGUUAUUAGGGAAGAACAAAUGUGUAAGUAACUAUGCACGUCUUGACGGUACCUAAUCAGAAAGCCACGGCUAACUACGUG